AAAAAAAAUUGGUACUAGACUAGGUGAUAGGGCCUGACUAAGUAGACCAAGACAAGAACAAUAGUGAGGUCUAAUAAUAGACCUGUCCCAGGUCCCCUGCGAGUGGCUGCUGAGACAGCUGUGAUCGUUCUCAUCUGCAGAUGUGGAGACAGCCAGAGAUGUUGAAUGACUAGUCCGUCAGCCAGAACAACUCAGAAGUUUGAACCCAGGACACGAGAGAGAGCUUGUCCUGCUGUUUCCACAUCCUGCCCCGGGUCCGGAGGUCUGCGUCCCUCUUUAGAAUGUCAGUCUCCCGGCAGAGGGGAAAAGACACAGGCUACCAGGGUCUUGCUAUGUAGUUCAGGCGGGCCUUGAACUGGUGCCG